ensembl:misc_RNA Metazoa_SRP Metazoan signal recognition particle RNA
GCUGGGCAUGGUGGCUCAUGCCUGUAAUCCCAGCACUUUUGGAGGCCGAGGUGGGUGGAUCACCUGAGGUCAGGAGUUUGAAACUAGCCUGGCCAAUAUGGUGAAACCCCAUCUCUA